rnacentral:rRNA from 1 species
AGUGAACGCUGGCGGUAGGCCUAACACAUGCAAGUCGAACGGCAGCACAGUAAGAGCUUGCUCUUACGGGUGGCGAGUGGCGGACGGGUGAGGAAUACAUCGGAAUCUACUUUUUCGUGGGGGAUAACGUAGGGAAACUUACGCUAAUACCGCAUACGACCUACGGGUGAAAGCAGGGGAUCUUCGGACCUUGCGCGAUUGAAUGAGCCGAUGUCGGAUUAGCUAGUUGGCGGGGUAAAGGCCCACCAAGGCGACGAUCCGUAGCUGGUCUGAGAGGAUGGUCAGCGACACUGGAACUGAGACACGGUCCAGACUCCUACGGGAGGCAGCAGUGGGGAAUGUUGGACAAUGGGCGCGAGCCUGGUCCAGCCAUACCGCGUGGGUGAAGAAGGCCUUCGGGUUGUAAAGCCCUUUUGUUGGGAAAGAAAAGCAGCAGGUUAAUACCCCGCUGUUCUGACGGUACCCAAAGAAUAAGCACCGGCUAACUUCGUG